GCGCAGCUAGUCCAACUGGUAGAGGCGCCCGCCUCAAAAGCGGGAUGUUCUGAGUUCGAAUCUCAGGCUGCGCACCA
rnacentral:tRNA from 1 species